GGUUAAGCGACUAAGCGUACACGGUGGAUGCCCUGGCAGUCAGAGGCGAUGAAGGACGUGCUAAUCUGCGAAAAGCGUCGGUAAGGUGAUAUGAACCGUUAUAACCGGCGAUGUCCGAAUGGGGAAACCCAGUGCAAUUCGUUGCACUAUCGUUAACUGAAUACAUAGGUUAACGAGGCGAACCGGGGGAACUGAAACAUCUAAGUACCCCGAGGAAAAGAAAUCAACCGAGAUUCCCCCAGUAGCGGCGAGCGAACGGGGAGCAGCCCAGAGUCUGAAUCAGCUUGUGUGUUAGUGGAACGGUCUGGAAAGUCCGACGGUACAGGGUGAUAGUCCCGUACACCAAAAUGCACAGGUUGUGAACUCGAAGAGUAGGGCGGGACACGUGGUAUCCUGUCUGAAUAUGGGGGACCAUCCUCCAAGGCUAAAUACUCCUGACUGACCGAUAGUGAACCAGUACCGUGAGGGAAAGGCGAAAAGAACCCCGGCGAGGGGAGUGAAAAAGAACCUGAAACCGUGUACGUACAAGCAGUGGGAGCACCUUCGGGUGUGACUGCGUACCUUUUGUAUAAUGGGUCAGCGACUUAUAUUCUGUAGCAAGGUUAACCGUAUAGGGGAGCCGCAGGGAAACCGAGUCUUAACUGGGCGUUAAGUUGCAGGGUAUAGACCCGAAACCCGGUGAUCUAGCCAUGGGCAGGUUGAAGGUUGGGUAACACUAACUGGAGGACCGAACCGACUAAUGUUGAAAAAUUAGCGGAUGACUUGUGGCUGGGGGUGAAAGGCCAAUCAAACCGGGAGAUAGCUGGUUCUCCCCGAAAGCUAUUUAGGUAGCGCCUCGUGAACUCAUCUUCGGGGGUAGAGCACUGUUUCGGCUAGGGGGUCAUCCCGACUUACCAACCCGAUGCAAACUACGAAUACCGAAGAAUGUUAUCACGGGAGACACACGGCGGGUGCUAACGUCCGUCGUGAAGAGGGAAACAACCCAGACCGCCAGCUAAGGUCCCAAAGUCAUGGUUAAGUGGGAAACGAUGUGGGAAGGCACAGACAGCCAGGAUGUUGGCUUAGAAGCAGCCAUCAUUUAAAGAAAGCGUAAUAGCUCACUGGUCGAGUCGGCCUGCGCGGAAGAUGUAACGGGGCUAAACCAUGCACCGAAGCUGCGGCAGCGACACUAUGUGUUGUUGGGUAGGGGAGCGUUCUGUAAGCCUGCGAAGGUGUGCUGUGAGGCAUGCUGGAGGUAUCAGAAGUGCGAAUGCUGACAUAAGUAACGAUAAAGCGGGUGAAAAGCCCGCUCGCCGGAAGACCAAGGGUUCCUGUCCAACGUUAAUCGGGGCAGGGUGAGUCGACCCCUAAGGCGAGGCCGAAAGGCGUAGUCGAUGGGAAACAGGUUAAUAUUCCUGUACUUGGUGUUACUGCGAAGGGGGGACGGAGAAGGCUAUGUUAGCCGGGCGACGGUUGUCCCGGUUUAAGCAUGUAGGCUGGUUGUCCAGGCAAAUCCGGAUAAUCAAGGCUGAGGUGUGAUGACGAGGCACUACGGUGCUGAAGUAACAAAUGCCCUGCUUCCAGGAAAAGCCUCUAAGCAUCAGGUAACAUCAAAUCGUACCCCAAACCGACACAGGUGGUCAGGUAGAGAAUACCAAGGCGCUUGAGAGAACUCGGGUGAAGGAACUAGGCAAAAUGGUGCCGUAACUUCGGGAGAAGGCACGCUGGUGUGUAGGUGAAGUCCCUGCGGAUGGAGCUGAGACCAGUCGAAGAUACCAGCUGGCUGCAACUGUUUAUUAAAAACACAGCACUGUGCAAACACGAAAGUGGACGUAUACGGUGUGACGCCUGCCCGGUGCCGGAAGGUUAAUUGAUGGGGUUAUCCGUAAGGAGAAGCUCUUGAUCGAAGCCCCGGUAAACGGCGGCCGUAACUAUAACGGUCCUAAGGUAGCGAAAUUCCUUGUCGGGUAAGUUCCGACCUGCACGAAUGGCGUAAUGAUGGCCAGGCUGUCUCCACCCGAGACUCAGUGAAAUUGAACUCGCUGUGAAGAUGCAGUGUACCCGCGGCAAGACGGAAAGACCCCGUGAACCUUUACUAUAGCUUGACACUGAACAUUGAGCCUUGAUGUGUAGGAUAGGUGGGAGGCUUUGAAGCGUGGACGCCAGUCUGCGUGGAGCCAACCUUGAAAUACCACCCUUUAAUGUUUGAUGUUCUAACGUUGGCCCCUGACCGGGGUUGCGGACAGUGUCUGGUGGGUAGUUUGACUGGGGCGGUCUCCUCCCAAAGCGUAACGGAGGAGCACGAAGGUUAGCUAAUCCUGGUCGGACAUCAGGAGGUUAGUGCAAUGGCAUAAGCUAGCUUGACUGCGAGCGUGACGGCGCGAGCAGGUGCGAAAGCAGGUCAUAGUGAUCCGGUGGUUCUGAAUGGAAGGGCCAUCGCUCAACGGAUAAAAGGUACUCCGGGGAUAACAGGCUGAUACCGCCCAAGAGUUCAUAUCGACGGCGGUGUUUGGCACCUCGAUGUCGGCUCAUCACAUCCUGGGGCUGAAGUAGGUCCCAAGGGUAUGGCUGUUCGCCAUUUAAAGUGGUACGCGAGCUGGGUUUAGAACGUCGUGAGACAGUUCGGUCCCUAUCUGCCGUGGGCGCUGGAGAAUUGAGGGGGCUGCUCCUAGUACGAGAGGACCGGAGUGGACGCAUCACUGGUGUUCGGGUUGUCAUGCCAAUGGCACUGCCCGGUAGCUAAAUGCGGAAGAGAUAAGUGCUGAAAGCAUCUAAGCACGAAACUUGCCCCGAGAUGAGUUCUCCCUGAGACUUUAAGUCUCCUGAAGGAACGUUAAAGACGAUGACGUUGAUAGGCCGGGUGUGUAAGCGCAGCGAUGCGUUGAGCUAACCGGUACUAAUGAACCGUGAGGCUUAACCUU
rnacentral:rRNA from 1 species